AACGAACGCUGGCGGCAUGCCUAACACAUGCAAGUCGAACGAGGGCUUCGGCCUUAGUGGCGCACGGGUGCGUAACGCGUGGGAAUCUGCCCCUCGGUUCGGAAUAACAGUUAGAAAUGACUGCUAAUACCGGAUGAUGACUUCGGUCCAAAGAUUUAUCGCCGAGGGACGAGCCCGCGUAAGAUUAGGUAGUUGGUGGGGUAAAGGCCUACCAAGCCGACGAUCUUUAGCUGGUCUGAGAGGAUGAUCAGCCACACUGGGACUGAGACACGGCCCAGACUCCUACGGGAGGCAGCAGUGGGGAAUAUUGGACAAUGGGCGAAAGCCUGAUCCAGCAAUGCCGCGUGAGUGAUGAAGGCCUUAGGGUUGUAAAGCUCUUUUACCAGGGAUGAUAAUGACAGUACCUGGAGAAUAAGCUCCGGCUAACUCCGUGCCAGCAGCCGCAGUAA
rnacentral:rRNA from 1 species